AUUGAACGCUGGCGGCAGGCCUAACACAUGCAAGUCGAACGAGCGGAGGGCGGGUGAGUAAUGUAAGGGAAACUGACCGUAGGAGGGGGAUAAGUAUAGGAAACGGUAACAAAUACUGCAUCCGAUCUGGUGUGUCGAGAGGGGAUUAGCUAGUGGGUGGGGUAAUGGCUCACCUAGGCGACGAUCCCUAGCGGGCCUGAGAGGAUGACCAGCCACACUGGAACUGAGACACGGUCCAGACUCCUACGGGAGGCAGCAGUGGGGAAUAUUGCGCAAUGGACGCAAGCCUGAUGCAGCCAUGCCGCGUGUAUGAAGAAGGCCUUCGGGUUGUAAAGUUCUUUCAUCGGGGAAGCGUUACUCACACAAGAAGCACCGGCUAACUCCGUGCCAGCAGCCGCGGUAAUAC
rnacentral:rRNA from 1 species